AUUUAAUGAAGACACAGACACAUAAAUAGAAAGAUUGAAGAAUACACCUGACUUCUGUCUCUGCCCUACACCCCCCUACACACACACACACACACGUGUGUGCACACAUUCCCACACACAUGUGUGCACACAUUCCCACACACAGGCACACACACACAAUAAGUGAAAAAACUGAUGAUAGGAAGAAUGAACUUAGCUUAUCAGAUGUUUUUAAUUGAAAAUUUAAGUAUAAGGCUUAACAUUUAUUUAACCUAAAUAAUGUAACUUUCUUAGAGAAUUUACUUUACUAAUGAAUACUGUUGCUUAGCAGUUAAUGAAGGCUUUAUUAAAAUCAGUGCUUUGACCAAAAUAGGACCUACACAGAACAUUUAUAUAUGUGGUAAUUUGGACCUAUAUAAUUAUGUUAAAAGUUAUACUUUGAGUAUUAUGAAAUAUGAUCAGCUAAAGUUCAUCUUUGCUCCAAACAUGCUUUUAAUAUUUGUCUAUUCUUAUAUAAUGUUGUAAACUCUCCACGUCCAUAAUGUUAAAUAGCAAAGUAAAAUACACAUGUUAAAAAUGUACAAAUUUAGUUUCAAAUUCCUACUGUACUUGGGAAAAUUAGUGAGUAAAUUACUGUGUUUAAUAAUCAUUCCUAAGUUUUGACAUUGGAGAGGUGAGGAUGCACUGUAAAUUUGAAAGGUUGCUUUCUUAGCCAGUUCUGGAGGGGCAUUAGAUACUAAUGUAACAACACAUUAAAUGUACUCUGUGUAUUGUAUGUGUUUUAAAUGUUUUGAUGAAUUUUUUGACACAAGUAUAAAUUUUAGCCUGUAUCAUUGGUUUAUUAAUGGUGUUCAUAAGCAAAUGUACAAAUCUCUCUCUUUUGUUUUUGAGCUUUGAUUUCACUGUAGCCCAACGUAUAUAAUUCUUGGAUUACAGGUGGGAUCCACCAUAUCUGGCAAAAGAAUUAAAAUUUUGAUUUGGUGCACAAAUGUAGCCCAAGAGUAAUUUACUUGUGCAAUGCCUCCAAGGUAUUGGGUUUAAACCAAAGCUUUUUUUUAAUGACUAUUUUGAAUCUUAAGUUUUGUAGUUUGGGGUAAAAUGUGUCAACAAAUGGGUUUGUGAGAUCUUACGUUGUGAAUAAUUAAAGUCUUCAGACUUAAAGCUAUGUAUGUAGCACAGUCUACCUUAA
rnacentral:lncRNA from 1 species